rnacentral:misc_RNA from 1 species
UAAUAAGUGUCUUAUGGCACUUUUUAAAUCCAUAUCCACCUUGUGUGCAAUGUCAGUCGAUCUUCAUCAUGGAGAUCGACCAAACAUCAACCUUUAUCUUUUAACUCUUUGUCUGAAAAAUAUUAUGGAUAAACAAUUCAAAAUA